rnacentral:rRNA from 1 species
UCUGGCUCAGAAUGAACGUUGGCGGCGUGGAUUAGGCAUGCAAGUCGAGCGAGAACCCCGCAAGGGGGGACAGCGGCGCAAGGGACAGUAAUGUGUAGAUUAUCUGCCCUCAGGUCCGGGAUAGCUGCGGGAAACUGCAGGUAAUACCGGAUAACAUCUCCGGAUCAAAGGUGUGAUUCCGCCUGAGGAUGAGUCUGCAUCCUAUUAGCUAGUUGGCAGGGUAACGGCCUACCAAGGCAUUGAUGGGUAGCGGGUGUGAGAGCACGACCCGCGUCAUUGGGACUGAGACACUGCCCAGACACCUACGGGUGGCUGCAGUCGAGAAUCUUCGGCAAUGGGCGCAAGCCUGACCGAGCGACGCCGCGUGUGGGAUGAAGGCCUUCGGGUUGUAAACCACUGUCAGAGGGGAUGAAAUGCAGGUGGGUUCUCCCAUCUGUUUGACAUAGCCUCAGAGGAAGGACGGGCUAAGUUCGUGCCAGCAGCCGCGGUAAGACGAACCGUCCAAACGUUAUUCGGAAUUACUGGGCUUAAAGGGUGCGUAGGCGGCGCGGAAAGUUGGGUGUGAAAUCCCUCGGCUCAACCGAGGAACUGCGCCCAAUACUACCGUGCUUGAGGGAGAUAGAGGUGAGCGGAACUUAGGGUGGAGCGGUGAAAUGCGUUGAUAUCCUAAGGAACACCGGUGGCGAAAGCGGCUCACUGGAUCUCUUCUGACGCUGAGGCACGAAAGCUAGGGUAGCGAACGGGAUUAGAUACCCCGGUAGUCCUAGCCGUAAACGAUGAGCACUGGAUUGGAGGGUCCUCCAUAGCCUUCCAGUCGCAACGAAAGCGUUAAGUGCUCCGCCUGGGGAGUAUGGUCGCAAGGCUGAAACUCA